rnacentral:rRNA from 1 species
GACGAACCGUGCGAACGUUGUUCGGAAUCACUGGGCUUAAAGGGCGCGUAGGCGGGCGACCAAGUCAGGGGUGAAAUCUUUCGGCUUAACCGGAAAACAGCUUCUGAUACUGGCCGUCUUGAGCGAGGUAGGGGCAUGUGGAACUUCCGGUGGAGCGGUGAAAUGCGUAGAUAUCGGAAGGAACGCCGGUGGCGAAAGCGGCGUGCUGGACCUCUUCUGACGCUGAGGCGCGAAAGCUAGGGGAGCAAACGGGG